GCCUCCCGUGAGCUCAUGCAUGCGGUUGGCCUAAAAGCGAGUCCUCGGCGACGCGCGCCACGACAAUCGGUGGUUGUCAAACCCUCGUGUCCCGUCGUGCGUGCCGCGUCGCUCAUCGUGUGCUCCUUGACCCUGCUGUGUCGCGCUAGCGACGCUUCCAACGCGACCCCAGGUCAGGCGGGACUACCCGCUGAAUUUAA
rnacentral:misc_RNA from 1 species